rnacentral:rRNA from 1 species
AUUGAACGCUGGCGGCAGGCCUAACACAUGCAAGUCGAACGGUAACAGGAAGCAGCUUGCUGCUUCGCUGACGAGUGGCGGACGGGUGAGUAAUGUCUGGGAAACUGCCUGAUGGAGGGGGAUAACUACUGGAAACGGUAGCUAAUACCGCAUAACGUCGCAAGACCAAAGAGGGGGACCUUCGGGCCUCUUGCCAUCGGAUGUGCCCAGAUGGGAUUAGCUGGUAGGUGGGGUAACGACUCACCUAGGCGACGAUCCCUAGCUGGUCUGAGAGGAUGACCAGCCACACCGGAACUGAGACACGGUCCAGACUCCUACGGGAGGCAGCAGUGGGGAAUAUUGCACAAUGGGCGCAAGCCUGAUGCAGCCAUGCCGCGUGUAUGAAGAAGGCCUUCGGGUUGUAAAGUACUUUCAGCGGGGAGGAAGGGAGUAAAGUUAAUACCUUUGCUCAUUGACGUUACCCGCAGAAGAAGCACCGGCUAACUCCGUGCCAGCCGCCGCUGUAAAAC